rnacentral:tRNA from 1 species
GGAGGGUAUAGCUCAGUGGUAGAGUGUGUGCUUAAGGUGCACGAGAUCCUGGGUUCAAUUCCCAGCACCUCCA